AACGAACGCUGGCGGCAUGCUUAACACAUGCAAGUCGAACGAGACCUUCGGGUCUAGUGGCGCACGGGUGCGUAACGCGUGGGAACCUGCCCUUAGGUUCGGAAUAACUCCCCGAAAGGGGUGCUAAUACCGGAGAAUGUCUUCGGACCAAAGAUUUAUCGCCUUUGGAUGGGCCCGCGUUGGUUUAGCUAGUUGGUAGGGUAAAAGCCUACCAAGGCGACGAUCCAUAGCUGGUCUGAGAGGAGGAUCGGCCACACUGGGACUGAGACACGGCCCAGACUCGUACGGAAGGCUGCAGUGGAGAAUAUUGGACGAUGGGGGAAAGCCUGAUACAGCAGUGCCGGGGGUGUCAUGAAGGCGUUAGGGUUGUAAAGCUCUUUUAGCCGGGAUGAUAAUGACAGUACCGGGAGAAUAAGCACCGGCUAACUCCGUG
rnacentral:rRNA from 1 species